rnacentral:rRNA from 1 species
AUUGAACGCUGGCGGCAGGCUUAACACAUGCAAGUCGAGCGAGCGGCGGACGGGUGAGUAAUGUCUGGGAAACUGCCUGAUGGAGGGGGAUAACUACUGGAAACGGUAGCUAAUACCGCAUACCAUCAGAUGUGCCCAGAUGGGAUUAGCUAGUAGGUGGGGUAAUGGCUCACCUAGGCGACGAUCCCUAGCUGGUCUGAGAGGAUGCCCAGCCACACUGGAACUGAGAAACGGUCCAGACUCCUACGGGAGGCAGCAGUGGGGAAUAGUGGACAAUGGGCGCAAGCCUGAUGCAGCCAUGCCGCGUGUAUGAAGAAGGCCGUCGGGUUGUAAAGGACUUUCAGCGAGGAGGCGUUACUCGCAGAAGAAACACCGGCUAACUCCGUGCCAGCAGCCGCGGUAAUAC